rnacentral:rRNA from 1 species
GAUGAACGCUGGCGGCGUGCAUAACACAUUCAAGUCGAACGGUGACGGGGCUUCGGCCCUGAUCAGUGGCGGACGGGUGAGUAACGCGUGAGCAAUCUGCCUCUGUGUGCGGGAUAACAGCCGGAAACAGCUGCUAAUACCGCAUAACGUAUACGGGCCGCAUGACCUGUAUACCAAAGGUUUACUGCACAGAGAUGAGCUUGCGUCUGAUUAGAUAGUUGGCGGGGUAACGGCCCACCAAGUCGACGAUCAGUAGCCGGACUGAGAGGUUGAACGGCCACAUUGGAACUGAGAAACGGUCCAGACUCCUACGGGAGGCAGCAGUGGGGAAUAUUGCACAAUGGGCGCAAGCCUGAUGCAGCAACGCCGCGUGAGGGAAGACGGUCUUCGGAUUGUAAACCCCUGUCCUUGGUGAAGAAACAUGACGGUAGCCAUGGAGGAAGCCACGGCUAACUACGUG